rnacentral:rRNA from 1 species
AAUAUUGGACAAUGGGGGCAACCCAGAUCCAGCCAUGCCGCGUGCGUGAAGAAGGUUCUCGGUUUGUAAAGCACUUUAAGUGGGGAGGAAGGGCUUUAGGUUAAUACUCUGAAGUUUCGACGUUACCAACAGACUAAGCACCGGCUAACUCUGUGCCAGCAUCCGCGGUAAUACAGAGGGUGCAAGCGUUAAUCGGAAUUACGGGGCGUAAAGCGCGCGUAGGUGGUUCGGUAUGAUGGGUGUGAAAUCCCCGGGCUUAACCUGGGAACUGCUUUCAUAACAGCUGAGCUAGAGAACGGUAGAGGGUAAUGGAAUUUCCUGUGUAUCGGUGAAAUACGUAGAUAUAGCAAGGAACACAAGAGGCGAAAGCGACUACCUGGACUGAUACUGACACUGAGGUGCGAAAGCGUGGGGAGCAAAC